AACAACUAGGGGGCGGAGCAAACACCUGGCCACACCGGCAGCUAAUCCCACAGACACCUAGUGCGUGCGCCCUGCCCAGUGAGGCUAGCGACUAUCUCAAGAGAAUAGCCAGCUGGCUGUAAACAUGGCUGAGAAUGAUCCAUCCUCAGAGCAGCAAAGGACCACAUGGACACUAAGCUCCUAAGGCACCUCGUAGAUACGUAGGAGCGGUGUGAGGAAUUUUGGAGAAGCAACUAUGUACCCUGGUUGGUCAGAAUUGUCCUCAACACAUUUUUUUCUGGAACACACAGGUUCCCCAUGCCACCAGGGAGUCCCCCUGGGGGCCAAGAUGAGGCUGAGGAGCUCCAGGAGACAUUCUUUUCCAUAGGAAUGGGAGAUACUUACUAAGACACAUCAGCUUUGAGCUGCCGCCAAGCCACAUGGACCUUGGAGGUUAGGAGUGAGGGUCCCACCCUUUCCUCCCAGAAAAACACACAGCCAAUGCUCUGAGAACCGUGGGACCCUCACUGACAGGCAAUGAAGCUCCAUGACCUCAGGAACUCCAUGAGAAGAGGCAUUUCUGACUUCAUGGUGCCCUCCUUCCAGAAGAUAACUGCCACCCUUGUGAGAGCAUGGUGGCAAGGGGAAGCAAAGGCAGUGGUGAGAUCUUGGAGACAAUAUAGGUGAGGAAUAGAACAUGGGGGUAUCGUGAUCCACAUGGGAAGCGAGACACACAGCGUAAGUGUGUGGGGAAGACUGACAGGCCAGUGUGUGACCCAUGGAGGGGGUCAGUCCCUGAGACUUGCUUCCACACAAGGUAUUAACCCUCACCUAGGAUCAAGAGAUCUCUGUUUGGACCUGUUGUCAGGUGGGCAAUGGCAACCUCCAGGGUGUGUGUCUGGUUGAAUUGCAGUGCUCCUACCUAUGUCUAUCCUGUGACCCAAGGCAGACCCAUGGCUACUUCUACAGUGAGUUAUCAAUUGGAAGACUGCUUCCCUGACCCUAUGGCUGGCUGGCUGUUUGUGCUGGGCCCUGUGUUCCCUUCUUCCUCAGCACCACCGCUGCGUCUCAGGUGUUCCCUGAACACCUGCUCAAGUCCACCCCAACUGUGAUACUUCAGUGGCACCUUAAACCUACUCAUUCAGACAUGAUCGUGUCUACCCAUGACUGCGGCUGCGGGAGGAAGGAGAGGAGGGUCACAGUCCUGUACAGAUCCCAGGGGACACCAUGCCUGCUUCUGGCCUCUGGCCCAGCUGAGUAGUGUCACCGCUUGGCUCCAGGCCACUCUGCAGACUCUCUGGACUUCGGCAGCUUCCUUCUCAAGGGCAGACGUGGGAGCUGUUUCGGAGGUGGCACAACCUUGAGUGUGUGUGAAGGCUGCUGCACACAGCAAAGUUCUGCCCCUGGUGUGAGGAUUGGGUGGAGGGAACAGGGGAAAUGAGCAGUAAAUGAGGGCGCUUGAGGAUGCUUCUGUUCUGGAAACUAUUCAGAGAUCCUUUCAGGACUAGUUUGCAAACCAUGGGCACCAGUAACUAUCACAGUGGGAGAUAGGGCCUUAGCCAUAUCAAAUCUUUGUCCAGCUCCUCCUGUGAGCCAGUGCUCAUUCAGUCCUUAUCUGCCCAUUCAUUCAUUCAUAUUCAUUCAUUCAUUCAUUCAUAUACAUUCAUUUACUCAUUCAUUUAUUCACUAAUUCACUGAUUCAAUCAUUCAUUCACUCCAAUUUUUUUUCAUUCUAUCAUCAUGCAUCCUUGGAGCUGCCCUGUAUUGAGGCAGACACAUCUGAAAUACAAAUGACUCAAGCACAAAAUGGGUUCCUGUCUGGUCAAUGUCCAGUGUGGGGAGUGCCCCAAACCCUCUCCAUCUUGCCCAUUCUCUGUGUGUCCCUGAGAGAAGGUGGGCAGAGCUUAGUGGGGAUGGCUACUUUAAGGGAUGUUAGAUGUUCACAGAGCAUUUUCCCCUGUGAAGUCUGUCAUGUUUCAGUACACAUUUCAGUUUCAUAAUAAAUAGACGGAUGCUCAAAUAUUGCAUUGCUUCUCCCCCAA